rnacentral:misc_RNA from 1 species
AGCAGCCGCGGUAAUUCCAGCUCCAAUAGCGUAUAUUAAAGUUGCUGCAGUUAAAAAGCUCGUAGUUGAAUUUCGGGACUAAUAUGUCGGUCGUGCCUCGGUACGUACUGGUUUAUUGGUUUCUCCUUUCUGAAGAACCAUGAUGUCAUUUAUUUGGUGUCGUGGGGAAUCAGGACUGUUACUUUGAAAAAUUAGAGUGUUUAAAGCAGGCUCACGCUUGAAUACAUUAGCAUGGAAUAAUGAAAUAGGACGUUUGAUUCUAUUUUGUUGGUUUCUAGGAUCGACGUAAUGAUUAAUAGGGAUAGUUGGGGGCAUUAGUAUUCAAUUGUCAGAGGUGAAAUUCUUGGAUUUAUUGAAGACUAACUACUGCGAAAGCAUUUGCCAAGGAUGUUUUCAUUAAUCAAGAACGAAAGUUAGGGGAUCGAAGACGAUCAGAUACCGUCGUAGUCUUAACCAUAAACUAUGCCGACUAGGGAUCGGAUGAUGUUAAUUUUUAAUGACUCAUUCGGCGCCUUAACC